GCUAGGUGUGGUGGCGCACACCUGUAAUCCCAGCUACUCAGGAGGCUGAGGCAGGAGAAUCACUUGAACCCAGGAGGCAGAGGUUGCAGUAAGCAGAGAUCAUGCCACUGCACUCCAGCCUGGGCGAGAGAGUGAGACUCUGCCUCAA
rnacentral:SRP_RNA from 1 species